GUGUUCACUUCAGCAGUACAUAAACUAAAAUUAGAACAAUGCAGAGAAGAUAAGCAUGGCCACUGGGCAAGGACACCACACAAAUUCAUGAAGCAUUCCAUAUUUUU